rnacentral:rRNA from 1 species
UGGGGAAUAUUGCACAAUGGGCGCAAGCCUGAUGCAGCGACGUCGCGUGGAGGAUGAAGGUCUUCGGAUUGUAAACUCCUGUUAAACGGAAAGAAAGAGGCGAAGCUAAUAACUUUGUCAUGAUGACGUUACCGUUAAAGAAAGCACCGGCUAACUUCGUGCCAGCAGCCGCGGUAAUACGAAGGGUGCGAGCGUUAUUCGGAAUAACUGGGCGUAAAGGGCGCGUAGGCGGUAUCUUAAGUCGACGGUUAAAGACUAUGGCUUAACCAUGGAAGUGCCGGCGAUACUGGGAUGCUAGAGGGUGGUAGAGAGGAGUGGAAUUCUCGGAGUAGCGGUAAAAUGCGUAGAUC